CUCCUCGCAAGGCCUCCACUCGCCUCUUUUCCCCCAACCCCCGGCCUGGGGGCCACCCAUCAGAUCAGGGGACAUGUUCUCAAGGUCUAGGGACAGGGUGUGUGGGCUCUGGGGACGCGAGAGAGAUCAGCAUGCCACCAGGAAGAGCUUCGAUUGGCCUUUUGCAUGACAGCCGUGGAGGAAGAAGGAGAAGGGACCCCCCCCACGCACCUUCUACCUCCUCACACAGCAACGGGCCUCAGCCGCGUCACCAGCCUCUUGCUGUGCUGCUUUCCGUAGACUAGCCUCGCCGGAACAUGUCAUUCCCCUACUGCUCCACACGCGCCGCCCAAGCCGCUGUCUCUUUGGGGAGUCCCUAAAGAGACAAUCAGGAAAUGAAUGUGCAUGAGAAUUCUGACCCUCCCUGUGCCUGACGGCCCCGUAGUUGUAGACCUGGUGACUCCCUUUGUGUGUCUUUCGCUUCUCCCAGUCAUCCUGGGAUUCUUUGCCCUCUGAAAGGCUGUGCGUCAUCAUGGGGCUCCACCAUGGUGCCCUAGUUGUAGGCAGCCAUUUUAGGAUGGCACCCAAGCACUUAAUAGUCAUCCCGAGAUGGCAUCCAAGUUCUGGGUGGCCAUUCCCAGAUGGCCCCGGAGUUCGGGGCUCUCAUUCCAAGAUGGCUUCUGAAUUUGGGAUGGCCAUUCUUAGAUAGUCCCUAAGUUCCAGGGUGGCCUUCAAGUUCUGGGUGGCCAUUCCAAGAUGGCCCCCAAGUUCUAGGAAGCCAUUGCAAAAUGGCCCCUGAGUUCCAGGGUGGCCCCCAACUUCUGGGCAACCAUUCCAAGGUGGCAUUUAAGUUCUGGGCCACUGUUCCAAGAUGGCCCCUGAGUUCUGGGCUCUCAUGCCAAGAUGGCUUCUGAAUUCUGGAUGGCCAUGCUUUCAUGGUCCCUGAGUUCCACCGUGGCCUUCAAGUUCUGGGUAGCCAUUCCAAAAUGGCCCCCAAGUUCUAGGAAGCCAUUGCAAGAUGGUCUCUGAGUUCUGGGCUGCCAUGCUAAGAUGGCUUCUGAAUUCUGGAUGGCCAUGCUUACGUGAUCCCUGAGUUCCAAGGUGGUCUUCAAGUUCUGGGUAGCCAUUCCAAGAUGGUCCCCAAGUUUUGGGUGGUUAUUCCAAGAUGACCCCCAAGUUCUGGGCAGCCAUUUCAAGGUGGCACCCUCGUUCUGGGUAACCAUUCCAAGAUGGCGCCCAACUUCUAGGGCAGCCAUUUCAAAAUGGCCCCCAGGUUCUGGGUGACUGUUUCAAGAUGGCACCCAACAGCUGGCCGUAAGCCCUUAGGACCCUGAUAGCAGACGUAGCAGUACCUUCCUGAAGCUGUAGACAUUUGGGGCAGGAUGAAAAACAUCUAAUGAGUCUCUUAAGAGAGAAACAACCUUGGGGAGCCCAGCUGUGCCCAUCAUGGUGGAUUACUUCCUGAAAGGGUUUGGAAGGAUCUUGACCCUUUCACUGAGAAAUCAGGGGCUUCCUCCCGUGCCUCUGUCUCCAGGCUUCCUCCUCAGCCCAUCUGGAGGGACCUUUGAAUGGUCUCCGUGACCGAACAGUGAGGACUUGGUUGUCAGGAGGGCCAGAAUGGUGGCCCAUUUCCAGCUGAAGACCUAUAAAAUAGGCCACACUUAGAUUCUUCUCUGGAAACACAGUGAGGUGACGUUUAGAACACAGUUAGAACAAGGUAUCUCCAGAGUUUCUGGAUGCAUGCCUCAGAGCUGGAGACAUGUCACAGAGGUCGGGAGCCUCAGAGCUGGAGACAUGUCACGGAGGUCGGGAGCCCCAGAGCUGGAGGAGACGUGUCACGGAGGUCGGGAGGCUGGUUGUGCUUCUUUCUCUUUCUCUUUCACUCCUCCCUCCUCUUUCUCCCUCUUCCCUUUUUGUUCAUUUGCUCUUCUUUUCUUUUUCUCUCUCCUGCUCUCCCUCCCCACCUCCUUCCCUCUCCUCAGAGUUCUUCAGUAUCUGACAACUACAGCAAUGGAAGAGAUUGCUUUAAAAAACAAGAUGCUGGCUGGGCACAGUGGCUCACACCUGUAAGCCCAGCACUUUGGGAGGCUGAGACAGGCAGAUUGCUUUAAGCCCAGGAGGUCAAGACUAGCCUGGGUAACCUAGGGAGACCCCAUCUCCACAAAAAAAAAAAAAUAUAUAUAUAUAUAUGUACACACACAUACACACACACACACGUAUGUAUAUACACACACAAACACAUACACAAAAAUUAGCCAGGCAUCAUGGUGGCAUGCCUGUAGUAGCAGCCACACAGGAGGCUGAGGUGUGAGAAUCCCUUGAGCUCAGGAGUUCGAGACUGCAGUGAGCCAAAAUUGAGCCAUUGCCCUCCAGUCUGGGGAACACAGGAAGAACCUGCCUCAAAACAAUAAAAAUUUUUUUAAUUAAAAAUCAAUGAAUUAGCUAUUCAGGAUAUUAUUGCUUCAUAUGGUUACUGAAUAAUUUGAAUAGUGAUGAGCACCAAAGAAUCAGGUUCAGCAAGCUGUUCUGUGUCUUUACAAGUAAAUAAACAAAUAAAACAAAUACAGUGCACAUCACAUUAGGGAACAAAGAUUGCAACAAAUAACGCAAGGAGCCCAUGUCCUUAAAAUAUAAAAAGCAGUUACAAAUCAAUAAGAAACACUAUUCCUCAGCCGAUAAAGGGGCAGAGGACGUAAACAGAAAUCUCACAGAAUGCUGGCAACUAGUAAAACUGGAUGGUAGAUCAACCUCAUUGGAACUCCGAGAAAUGUCCAAUAAAAAUGAGACACAAUUUGUUCCGUAUCAAAUUAGCACUGUUCUUCACCCCCAAAAAAUGAUUGUCUUAGCUAAUCACAGUGUGCAUAAGAAUGUAUUAUAAUAGACUGGGCACAGUGAUUCACACCUGUAAUCCUAGCACUUUGGGAGGCCAAGUGCAGGCGGAUCACCUGAGGUUAGGAGUUCAAGACCAGCCUGGCCAACAUGACAAAAAUACAAAAAUGAUCCAGGUAUAGUGGCACAUGCCUGUAAUCCCAGCUACUUGGGAGGCGGGGCAGGAGAAUAGCUUAGACCUGGGAGACAGAGACUGCAGUGACCCAAGAUUGUGCCCCUGUACUCCAGCCUGGGCGACAGAGCAAGACUCCAUCUCAAAAAAAAAAAAUAAUAUAUAUAUAUAUAUAUAUAUA